UUGGUUACUAUUGGGUGACUGAGUGAAGAGCAUUUAUUACAUUUGGAAAGCUCAACAAUUCGUGGAGGUAGAAGACACAAUCCAUUCUGUUUCUCUCUUGAUUAGAGUAGACCUAGAAUUCCAGGACCAUGGUUGUGCUGCGUCCUGAACACCACGUACCAUGUACCGAUCUCCUCAUUUUAAAGACAGAACUGGGAGUUAAGAAGGACAAAAAGGAAAUUCAAAGUGGGAUGGGGAAGAGGAAUGGAAGAAUAAAAGCAAGAAAACUUGGGAGUCAAGAUAAAUAAAAGUUUAACUGAAGGAUAAAUAGAAAAAGAAGAAGAAGAAGAAGAAGAAGAAGAAGAAGAAGAAGAAGAAGAAGAAGAAAGAAAAGAAGAAAACAAACCAGAACAAGUGAUAGAUACAAAGUCAGCACUCAACACACAACCUACAACCAGAUCCUCAAGAAAAGAUGGCUACCUCCUCUACAUCCCCACUCUUUUAAUUGCUAAGAUAUUAUAGAAUAUCUCUGGUGAAUUCAGGUUCUCUGCUCUGUUGUGUCCAUUCCCAAUCCAUUGUACACAUCCCUAGUCUAUUCACUUAGGAGACUGAGAAAGAAACAGAGAAGGCCUUGGUGCUGUACACUGUUCAGCUAGAGCUAGAACAUUAGUGUGUUACCACCAUUUGGGUCAAAAGCCUCAACCACAGCACCAUAUGAGUUGCUAUGAAGUAAAUGGACUCCAUCCUAGACAGAGCCAUUAAUACUGGGCCAAAAGUUUCAAUAUUUCAUCUAAGAGUGACACUUGGCUAUGGAAAAGGAGGUAAAACUGGUUAUAGUGAACUAAUUGAUAAAGUAGAGUAUGCAAGUUUCUGAAUUAUAUAUAGGUAUCCUCAAGGAAGAGGACAGGAAAACCACCAUAGAAUUUACGCUGCUCCAUGUUUUAUUAUCCACUUUAAAUUGGCUCUUUUUCCAUGAAUCCCUAAAAUAGGUCUAUGUUUAAGCUUAACAAUACUGAGUGCAAACCCUCAUGCCUUUGCAAACUCUCAUAUUAUUGCAACAUUGUGUUUGGGAAGAAGAGAGAUUGAAGAAAACGGAAUCAGUUCCUGUGAAAGAACUGCUGCA